UUGCCAGCCCGCUCAAGAACUCAAAGGAAUUGACGGGGCCCGCACAAGCGGUGGAGUAUGUGGUUUAAUUCGAUGCAACGCGAAGACCUUACCUGGUCUUGACAUCCCGGAGACCCUUAGGAAACUAGGGGGUGCUUCCAUCUGGAAGAAUCUGGAGACAGGUGCUGCAUGGCUGUCGUCAGCUCGUGUCGUGAGAUGUUGGGUUAAGUCCCGCAACGAGCGCAACCCUUGCCUUUAGUUGCCAGCAGUUCGGCUGGGCACUCUAAAGGGACUGCCGGUGUUAAACCGGAGGAAGGUGGGGAUGACGUCAAGUCCUCAUGGCCUUUAUGACCAGGGCUACACACGUACUACAAUGGCCGAUACAAAGGGCAGCGACACUGCGAGGUGAAGCCAAUCCCGUAAAAUCGGUCUCAGUCCGGAUUGGAGUCUGCAACUCGACUCCAUGAAGUUGGAAUCGCUAGUAAUCGUGGAUCAGCAUGCCACGGUGAAUACGUUCCCGGGCCUU
rnacentral:rRNA from 1 species